UCUGGUGAUUAUGGCUUGAAGGUAACACCCGUUCCCAUGCCGAACACGAAGGUUAAGCUUCAAAGCGCUGAUGGUACUGCAGGGGAGGCC
rnacentral:rRNA from 1 species